CUGAAUUUUCUUCAUAGAGAUGCAUAUAUUCAAUGCAUCCCUAUGAAGAGGUGCUAAUUGGCCAAAAUGACGUUUGGCCCUGCCCCCUUGCUGAUUUUAGCCAAUCCAAUGCUUUUCCCAUGGGAAAGCAUUGGAUUGGCUAAAUAUUGGCAAUUCUGAUGAUGUCACCAAGUUGGCGGGGCCAGUGCCGGUGGACCCGCACGGCGCUAGAAACAAGGUGAGUUUUAAUUGCUUUUAAGGGGGCUUAGUGGGGGGGCAAGCCACCUAAAUGGGUCAGGAAUAGACCACUAUAGAGUCAGGAAUACAUGUUUGUGUUCCUGACCCUAUAGUGUUUCUUUAACAUACAUUUCAAGAGCACUCAAAGUUUGGAUAAAUAAUUUUAAAGAGGACUGUGACUAAAGCAACUUUGCCACUGGUUCUUGGAGGGGACUACUUGCCAGCCUUUUACCCUGUGACUAUGGCCCCUUUAAUUUGUUU